rnacentral:rRNA from 1 species
ACGCUCGACACCUACGGGAGGUAGCAGUGGGGAAUAUUGCACAAUGGGGGAAACCCUGAUGCAGCAACGCCGCGUGAAGGAAGACGGUUUUCGGAUUGUAAACUUCUGUUCUUAGUGAAGAUAGUGACGGUAGCUAAGGAGCAAGCCACGGCUAACUACGUGCCAGUAGCCGCGGUAAUCUGAGCGGGCUGGCAAGGC